AGAGAGGGAGAGAAGGGGCAGAGUGUGCUGUGUGUUACUGUGCAUUUUGAGACUGAAGAAGCAAAAUCUCCGUGUUUGAAUAAGCUGUCCCGAGGGCUUGUUUUGAGCCACUACAUUCAGUAACAUCACAAGCUGGUGCUGAAGAACUUGGGGAGGACAACAGCAGAAGCCAAAUUAGCAGAGACUAACUACGAAUAUUAAACAAGCCUAAAGGGAGUACUGUGGUCAUACCUCAAUUUUGUACUGCCAUCUGUUCACGUCUCUUUGAUUUUAUUAUUAAACAUGGCUAGAAAUCAUGACUUACCACGAUGUUGAUCCUCAUAUAAUAGAAUUUAUGCUAACUAUUGAUGUGCCGACUCGUCUAAAUCAAGUAGCUAAUGGGACAACAUUUUAAUCUUUGUUGUUA